UCAGGUGCCUAUAUCGGCGGUGUCCACCUCUUCCCAUUCCGAACAGAGAAGUUAAGCCCGCCAGAGCCGAUGGUACUGCAGUAAAAUGUGGGAGAGUAGGUCGGUGCCAACC
rfam:Mucilaginibacter pedocola strain TBZ30 scaffold23, whole genome shotgun sequence.